rnacentral:rRNA from 1 species
UCUAUAACCGAUAAUCCACGUUAAACCUCACCAUCUCUUGCCUAAACCGCCUAUAUACCGCCGUCGCCAGCUGCCUCUGAGAGAUAAAAGCAGCUAAGA